rnacentral:rRNA from 1 species
GACGAACGCUGGCGGCGUGCUUAACACAUGCAAGUCGAACGGAAAGGCCCUGCUUUUGUGGGGUGCUCGAGUGGCGAACGGGUGAGUAACACGUGAGUAACCUGCCCUUGACUUUGGGAUAACUUCAGGAAACUGGGGCUAAUACCGGAUAGGAGCUCCUGCUGCAUGGUGGGGGUUGGAAAGUUUCGGCGGUUGGGGAUGGACUCGCGGCUUAUCAGCUUGUUGGUGGGGUAGUGGCUUACCAAGGCUUUGACGGGUAGCCGGCCUGGGAGGGUGACCGGCCACAUUGGGACUGAGGUACGGCCCAGACUCCUACGGGAGGCAGCAGUGGGGAAUAUUGCGCAAUGGGCGGAAGCCUGAUGCAGCAGCGCCGCGUGCGGGAUGACGGCCUUCGGGUUGUAAACCGCUUUCGCCUGUGACGAAGCGUGAGUGACGGUAAUGGGUAAAGAAGCACCGGCUAACUACGUG